UGAAGGGCUUAUUUCCCACUUCAUUUAUUUUGAAAAGAUGUAUCCCCGGCAUGUUGCUUGUUGAUGAAGGAUUCAUUUCCAAUUUCUCCAGCAAGGGUAGUUUCCUCAAGAGCAUUUACAGCUUGUCCCCGGUAGGGUUGCCAGAUCAGAGUUUGAUGUUUGUAUCUCCUCCGAAUUUGAAGAUUUCUUCUAGCAUUAAGAGAUGGUGGUGAAAAUGUUUAUUUCCUUCCCUAGUGGAGCAAAUGCUAUUAUUCCCCUUUGCAG
rnacentral:lncRNA from 1 species